CGCCAGGAGUGAUCCCUGAGUGCAAAGCUAGGACAACCCUGAGCACUGUCAAAUGUGGGCCAAAAACAAAAUUAUGAAUUUGAGAAUUUGAGUCUCCAAACCCCUGACCUUCUCUGUGUUAAACUACUGGUCAGCUACUGAAAAACAGAACUCAGGUCUUGAUUCGAAAUGGUUCAGCACAUAAGUGGGUGUUUCAAAGCCCAGGUGUUGUUAAAUUGACAGGAAUGAUAAUAUGUUGCUGCCUUAUUUUUAUAUGGGAAAAUGGGAAAAAAUGAUGGAAAAGCCCAACAGGUUAGUGAUGGAUGAUGUAAAACAUCUUUCUGCUCAGAUAGCAGAACUUUUAAAUUCUGGUGUAUGAUGUUGUUUAGAAAUUUUCUUUUUUAUUAAAACCACUUUAAUAGUAUUGUCUCUUUUAAAAAAAUCAUUCUUUAUUUGUGAGCCCUUUUCUUGUUCUCUCUUUGUUUCUCUUCCUACUGAUUGGAACCACCACAAAACCCAGUUCUGAAAUAACUUUACCCAAAGUAAAUGCAUUUAUUUUUUAGUCAGAAGAACUUAAAAAUUCCAAAUGUUCUUUCAUGUGGUGGGUUCAUUUUUAGGAAACCUUAGGUUGUACUGGAAACCUUUUAUGUAAGCUAAACCAAAACUGAUGAUGAUUCUUUUAUUGUGACUUCCUUUAAUCAUUUUCCUCUGUACUUGCUCUGUCUUAACAGAGAGGGUAAGAGGGCCAUAGCCCUUUACCAAAAAUACCAUAUGGAACUCUUGACCUCAGAGGUCAGCUUGGCCACUGUAUUAGCUGGUGAGGCUGACCAGUGGAGAGAGCCGGUCAUCUGUCUCCAGGUGAAUGUAAUCUGCUUCCAGGACUUUCCACAGCGGGGCGUCGGCGGGUGGCAGAGCGCGGCGAUCUCUAGCCCCGAGAUUCCGGCCUCUGCACGGAUCUCAGGUCUCUUGGUACCUCCCCUUCAUCGAAGAGCAUCACUGCUCCUCGCUGGAGCACUCAGGAGUCCCAUGGAAGAAAGAAAAUACCUGAGUGUGGCCACAACCAUGGUAUUCUUAUUUUUAUCUGGAUGGAUUAGAAAUCUAUUUGAAACUUUGCUGGUAUCUCACAGUGCUACCACAGAGUCAUUGAAUCCCCCGCCUGCUGCGGUGGGGGCUUUGUUGUGCUAUUGUAGAGUGUGUGUAGAGUAAGGGGAUGAAUUCACUUUCUGGGUGUGUAGACGAGCCAACACGAGCAGCUGGCUGAUCGCUGAGUGCUCUCAGCAUUGUUCGUAGUGAGUGCUAUUUUCCAGGAGCUGGUUCAGUUUGUCCCGUCUACUGCACAGCAAACGAUGCUCUUCUUUCCACAUGAACCUUCAGCAAACACAGGUACUUGGAAGCCACAGGCUCACCUCCAUCUACUCAAUAAUUCUUAAUAAAGAGACCUCCAUAAAGGGAGCACAUGGCUGUUACCAAUAAACGUACCAAUUACCCAAUAAUUAGUCUCCAAGCCAUUCGGUGAUGUGUACAGCAUCACUGUAGAACUGUCUUGUGUCACUUUUUACUUCCCUUCGGGAGAGGGCUUUCAGGUCCCCCCAUUGGCACCUCUCAAUCAUGGAGGAAGCGCCUCUUCCUCUCCAGCUAGUGACUUCUGCCCCGUGGUUGGGGAAACUUCCUAGACUGAGAAACACAGCUCCAGUGAGUCCUGCUGAGGUCCUCGCUGGUGAUCGCUCACUCACACAUAACGCUCCUUGUAUUCUAACUGUCGUGCACUUCUAAUGCUCUCGGGUUUUCUCUCUGUUGGCCAUGGGUGCCAUCCAGACAGUGAGUUCAUAUCUUAUGGUUUUGUGCAAUCAUUGUCGUAUUGUAGUCCUAAGACUCAUUAUAGUGUAUUUUUGAUAUUUUUGAAAUGUGUUAAAUUUUUUAAUUCAAUAAUAUGAGCCAGAGCAUGUUGCAGCAAAUCUAUUGUUUGUAAAAAAUAAUAACAACAAUAAAUAACAUGAAAUGGAA